rnacentral:rRNA from 1 species
AUUGAACGCUGGCGGCAUGCUUUACACAUGCAAGUCGAACGGUAACAGGCCGCAAGGUGCUGACGAGUGGCGAACGGGUGAGUAAUGCAUCGGAACGUGCCCAGUCGUGGGGGAUAACGCAGCGAAAGCUGCGCUAAUACCGCAUACGAUCUAUGGAUGAAAGCGGGGGACCGUAAGGCCUCGCGCGAUUGGAGCGGCCGAUGUCAGAUUAGGUAGUUGGUGGGGUAAAGGCUCACCAAGCCAACGAUCUGUAGCUGGUCUGAGAGGUCGACCAGCCACACGGGGACUGAGACACGGCCCAGACUCCUACGGGAGGCAGCAGUGGGGAAUUUUGGACAAUGGGCGCAAGCCUGAUCCAGCAAUGCCGCGUGCAGGAAGAAGGCCUUCGGGUUGUAAACUGCUUUUGUACGGAACGAAAAGGCUCUGGAUAAUACCUGGGGCUCAUGACGGUACCGUAAGAAUAAGCACCGGCUAACCACGUGCCAGCCGCCGCCGUAA